rnacentral:rRNA from 1 species
AGUGAACGCUGGCGGUAGGCCUAACACAUGCAAGUCGAACGGCAGCACAGAGGAGCUUGCUCCUUGGGUGGCGAGUGGCGGACGGGUGAGGAAUACAUCGGAAUCUACUCUGUCGUGGGGGAUAACGUAGGGAAACUUACGCUAAUACCGCAUACGACCUACGGGUGAAAGCAGGGGAUCUUCGGACCUUGCGCGACUGAAUGAGCCGAUGUCGGAUUAGCUAGUUGGCGGGGUAAAGGCCCACCAAGGCGACGAUCCGUAGCUGGUCUGAGAGGAUGAUCAGCCACACUGGAACUGAGACACGGUCCAGACUCCUACGGGAGGCAGCAGUGGGGAAUAUUGGACAAUGGGCGCAAGCCUGAUCCAGCCAUACCGCGUGGGUGAAGAGGGCCUUCGGGUUGUAAAGCCCUUUUGUUGGGAAAGAAAUCCAUCUGGUUAAUACCCGGGUGGGAUGACGGUACCCAAAGAAUAAGCACCGGCUAACUUCGUGCCAGCAGCCGCCGUAA